GUGAUUAAGUUAUUAAGGGCGCACGGUGGAUGCCUUGGCACUAGAAGCCGAUGAAGGACGUUACUAACGACGAUAUGCUUUGGGUAGCUGUAAGUAAGCGUUGA
rnacentral:rRNA from 1 species